GUGGGCGAGAAGUACGCGGAAUGCGCGGUGUAGCGGUGAAAUGCAUAGAUAUCGCGCAGAACUCCGAUUGCGAAGGCAGCGUACCGGCGCCAGACUGACGCUGAGGCACGAAAGCGUGGGGAUCGAACAGGAUUAGAUACCCUGGUAGUCCACGCAGUAAACGAUGAAUGCUGGUUGUCCGGGUCGAAUGAGACCUGGGCGGCGAAGCGAAAGCGAUAAGCAUUCCACCUGGGGAGUACGCCGGCAACGGUGAAACUCAAAGGAAUUGACGGGGGCCCGCACAAGCGGAGGAACAUGUGGUUUAAUUCGAUGAUACGCGAGGAACCUUACCCGGGCUCAAACGGGAGUGGAAUGGACCAGAGACGGUUCAGCCUACGGGCCGCUUCCGAGGUGCUGCACGGUUGUCGUCAGCUCGUGCCGUGAGGUGUCGGCUUAAGUGCCAUAACGAGCGCAACCCCCGCCGGCAGUUGCUAACGGGCAAUGCCGAGGACUCUGCCGGGACUGCCGCCGCAAGGCGUGAGGAAGGCGGGGAUGACGUCAAAUCAGCACGGCCCUUACGUCCGGGGCGACACACGUGUUACAAUGGGCGGUACAGCGGGAAGCCAGGCGGCGACGCCGAGCGGAACCCGAAAGCCGUUCUCAGUUCGGAUCGGAGUCUGCAACCCGACUCCGUGAAGCUGGAUUCGCUAGUAAUCGCGCAUCAGCCAUGGCGCGGUGAAUACGUUCCCGGGCCUUGCACACACCGCCCGUCAAG
rnacentral:rRNA from 1 species